rnacentral:lncRNA from 1 species
AUGAUGACUUUUGCCAGUCUUAGGUUUAUUGUGCUUUCAGUUACCAGUGCCGUUGUUGAAUCAGGGAUGUCCACACUAGGCAAAAGAAGAAUCAUGCUUGGAAAAUGUGACUAUGUCGGACGCCUGGGUGGCUCAGGGGUUGAGUGCCUGCCUUCAGUCCAGGGUGUGAUCUUAGAGUCCCACAAGGAAGCAAUUCUCUAUGUCGAGCACAUCACGAUCAAGUCCCACAUCGGACUCCCUACAUGGAGCCUGCUUCUCUCUCUGCCUGUGUUUCUCCUCUCUUUAUCUCUCUCUCUCUCUCAUGAAUAAAUAAAUAUAAUCUUAAAAGAAGAAAGAAAAUAUGACUAUGUAAUAUAACUUGUUUGAAUCAAAUUAUCUUUAUAUACUCCAGGAUUUAAAGAGAGGUAUUGAAAGAAUCUGAGGAUUGUUGCAGUGGGUCCAGUGGUUUAUUGUUUUCCUAAAGGAGAUGUAUGGUUCAUAGUUCUCAAGUGGUCUAGACAAUCAAUGACAUGGGGACCUCAGGUGUCUCUGUGGAAGCUGUAUAUGGUGGAGAGGACCUCAAAUUUUCUGAUUCUUCAAUUCUCAAUGCUCACCAAUGUGGUUCCAUGCAAAAAAAUGGGAUGUACCUCUUGGUUAAGACCAUUUAUUUGUUUUUCAUUAGACAUUUUAAAAUAUAUCAUUUUACUGGUGUUGUUGUAAUUGCUCAUUUAUCCAUAUUCUAUAAGUUUAUUUGGGGCAUUCACUUGGGAUUUAGCCCAGUGUUUUUGCAUUAACCACUGUGUUUCUGUAGACACAUAAAUUUUGGAAAUACUGUGACAAAGAAAUGCCAGUCAGCGUGUUAUGUUCUAAUUUUAACGUGCUGAGAGGAAGAUAUGAAACAUGAGCAAAAGAAGAGGGAAAACCAGGAAGAAAACAACACAGAACCAGGAUCGAAUAGGAAGAAGUAUCUCUCAAGACUUAUGUUCCACGUAUCGCACCUACAUCCUUUGAAACAUGUACUAAUGCUUCAGCAUAAGCUGUAACGUAAUGUGGUAAUUACCUUGGUUGCCAACUUUUUAUUAAUAGGGAAAACAGAAGGGACACCUGAGUGGCUCCACGGUUGAGUGUCUGCCUUUGGGUAAGGGCCUGAUUUCGGAUUCCCAGAAUCAAGUCCCACAUUGGACUCCUUGCAUGGAGCCUGCUUCUCCUCCCUCUGCCUGUGUCUCUGCCUCUCUCUGUGUGUCUCUCAUGAAUAAAUAAAUAAAAUAUUUAUUAAAAAAUAGAGAAAAUAGAAGAGUAAAGAGAAAGAAUUCUUCCUACUGAAUAUACUCGGUGAAAAGAAAAAAAAAACUAACAAAAUUACAAGAUCUGUCUCUAUGCCCUUCAAAAUUUCUAAAACUGAGUUGGAAGGCCAAAUCAGAACAAUAUUACCAUUACCUAUAGAGAACAAACAAGGCUGUUGGAAGGAGAGGGGUAGGGGGAUUGGGUAAAUGGGUGAUGGGUAUUAAGGAGGGCACUGGUGGUGAUGAGCACUGGGUGUUGUAUGUAAGUGAUGAAUCACUAAAUUCUACUCCUGAAACCAGUAUUACACUACCUGGUAACUAACUAGAAUUUAAAUAAAAACUUGAAACAUAAUUUAAAAAGAACAAUAUAACCUUGAUAUAAAUUCUGAACACUACAUGUGGAAAUGUUAAGAGGAUAAGGAGACAACAGAGUAAAAGUGUUCUGUAAAAUUAUACAUCAGGUAAGUAUAAGGAGUGAUUAUGAAAUAUUAAGAAUAAGAAUACUAAUUAUCUUUAAGUUAAAAAAAUAGCUUUAUUUUAUUUUUUAAAGAUUUUAUUUAUUUACUCAUGAGAGAGAGAGAGAGAGGCAGAGACAUAGGCAGAGGGAGAAGCAGGCUCCUCACAGGAAGCCUGAUGUGGGACUCUAUCCCAGGACCCCAGGAUCAAAACCUGAGCCAAAGGCAGGUGCUCAACCACCAAGCCACUCAGGUGUUCCUAAAAGAAUAGCUUAAAAUAACCUAGAACUACCUAGAAAAAAACAUGCUAUUUACUGUAAGAAAUUUAUAGUUUUUAAGACACUUGCAGGAUUUCUAUGUUGUUUUCAUGAAUGUUCCAUGUAAUGAAUAUUCAUCUUUAAAUAACUCUGGAAAGGAAAUUGAGGGGAUGAAAUCAGACAGGAUAUCAUCUAUUCUACCCAUGUAAUUCUACAUAAAUUUACUGGAAGGGAUUAGGAAUGCCUAAAUUUUACUAAUUCCUGUUGAUGUGAAGAACACAAUCACUUUCCUCCUGGCAAGUAUUUUGCAUACUGGCCUGGAUUUUUACUCUAGGGCAGGUAAACACCUCACCUUGGGGGAGAGCUAUGUUGCUGUAAAGAAAAUGAAUUUCUUUAUCUAAUACUUUUUUCUUUUAGCUUUUUUAUUUUACGUUUAUAGCAGCAAACCAUCUGAUUUUUCCCAAGGGACAUUAUUUAUGGUGGCUUUCUCUUGCUUCUAGUUGUCAUUUUACAAAUAUUACUAAACUUGAAUUAAAGUAGUAAAGAAUAGUCCAAUCUAAUUUCAAAGAAGUAACACAAAUAUCUAUACUGCAAGAACUCAGAGUACUAUAUAAGCAUUGUGAAAAAGUAGAAGGAAAGAUUUCUUCCACCAAGUCCUUAAAUUCAUUUGUAUUACUAAUUAGUGUUAAUCUAUUCCUUCUCUGUAAUGUUGAGUAUUUAACCCUCAGAAUCUAUUUCUCUAUUCCAAACACCACACACACACACACCCCUGCACCCUCCCCACCAUGAAAGAAAGGAAAUACACAUGUACCAAGAUAACAAGAGAAAGUCUAGAAUCUUUACAAGGUAAUAUUUUUUUGAGAAUUAAAUAAAUCAAAAGGCUAAAAGAUUUAUUUACACAGAAAACUCUUUUGACUAUACAUGUAAAUAAGACCAAUGAAUGGAGUUGGUUGAGUGUUUCUUAAAAUUUUGUAAAAACUCUGUGCCCAUAAUAGUCUAGCAGUGAAGAUGAAGAAGCUAAGAUCGCUUCUGAAAAAGAGCAGCAGGGCUGAUCAAUAAGAAAAAACAUACAAGCACAUGAGAAGGGCAUUGACUAGACUGGAUUGAAUUUUUUUCAAUCUGAUAGAAUAGAGCAAUACAGAAAUCUCCUAUACAGUUAUUAUUCCC